GAAAUGCGAUAAGCAAUGCGAAUUGCAGAAUUCCGCGAGUCAUCAGAUUUUUGAACGCAGCCCGCGCUGGAGAGAUAUCUCUUCAGCAUGUUUGUUUCAGUGUGUUUGGUUGACAUCACACAACUCAAUGCGAUUGAACCCUCCUUUUUUAGUAAAGUGGGAUCUCUCGUGAAAAGCGAAGGCGUGGGACUCAGCCCGCCAACGAUGUGGAUCACUGUCUAACAGUGAAUUCGUUGGGUAACAUCGGUCUAGUCAUUUAACUAUACGUCUUAAAUAGUUAGUUAGUUAGUUAGUUACUUAAAAACAACAACAACAACAACAACAACAACCUUCAAUCUGCACCUGAAAUCAAGCAAGAACACCCGCUGAACUUAA
rnacentral:misc_RNA from 1 species